rnacentral:rRNA from 1 species
GGUGAGUAACGCGUGAGAAUCUGCCUUCUGGUCGGGGACAACCAUUGGAAACGGUGGCUAAUACCGGAUAUGCCCUUGGGUGAAAGAUUAAUUGCCAGAAGAAGAGCUCGCGUCUGAUUAGCUAGUUGGAGAGGUAAAGGCUCACCAAGGCAUCGAUCAGUAGCUGGUCUGAGAGGACGAUCAGCCACACUGGGACUGAGACACGGCCCAGACUCCUACGGGAGGCAGCAGUGGGGAAUUUUCCGCAAUGGGCGAAAGCCUGACGGAGCAAGACCGCGUGAGGGAGGAAGGCUCUUGGGUUGUAAACCUCUUUUGUCAGGGAAGAAGAAACUGACGGUACCUGAAGAAUCAGCAUCGGCUACCUCCGUGCCAGCAGCCGCGGUAAUACG